rnacentral:rRNA from 1 species
CCGCAAGGCCAGUGGCGCAAGGGUGAGUAAGGCGACGGCAACCAACCCCGGGAUCGGGUAUAGCCGCGGGAAACCGCGGGUAAUCCCCGGCGACGUCGUUCGGAGGCAUCUCCGGGCGACCAAAGCUCCGGCGUCGCGGGACGGGCCGUCGUGGUAUUAGCUGGUUGGCGGGGUAACGGCCCACCAAGGCUGUGAUGCCUACCGGGCGCGCGAGCGUGGCCCGGCACACUGGGACUGAGACACUGCCCAG